rnacentral:lncRNA from 1 species
UGGUACAACUAGCUAGCAUUGUCGAUGGUGUAGGUACGGACGAGCCAUUGUUGAUGGCAUAUAUGCAUCCGGGUUCACCUCCUGAUCAGUGCGGAGGCGGUAGCGUUGGAGCCAUUGUCGAUGGCGUCCGGACAUGUUGAUGGUGUAGACAUGUUUGACGUCGACAUGCUCGUCCAGCACCGUCGUCGGAGCAUCUCCUGAGGCUCGC